GUGAGUGAGCCUGUGGAAUUCUCUACUCGAGAAAGUGGCUGAGGCCAAACAUUGAAUGUUUUCCAGAAGGAGUCCUGAGUGCUAAAGGGAUCAAAGGGUAUGGAGUAAAAAGUGGGAGCGUGGUACUGAGUUAGAUUAUCAGCCAUGAUCAUAUUGAGUGGCAGACCUCAAAAAGUCAAAUAGCCUACUCUUGUUCCUAUCUCCUAUGUUCCUGUGCUUGUAUGUGCAUGUGUUAUGUAUCCUGUGAAUGAUUUUCUGUGUACACGCAUGUGGAUAUGCACAUGGGCAAGUUUCUGUAUGUGUGUUACAUGUUCUUUGUAUAUGCGUGUAAGUUUGUGUGUGUGUGUACACCUGAGUAUUUUUCCGAAUGUAUGCACAUCCUAUACAAACACACACUUUCUCCCUGAGAUUUUUGGCUGGAUCUAUGCCAUUCUGCCCAUAUUCUACAUACUCCUUGUUCCCAUUCUGUUGUCGUAUUCUUUAACGUUAAUCGUGAUAAUCAUAAACGAUGGAUUGUGUGUCACUGUGUAACCAGGAAGCCUGUCCGCAUUGCUGUGCUCCAAGUGGGGUCCACUCAAGGACAAUGAAGCCACAAUCAUUUUCUACACCCGACAGAUCCUGGAGGGCCUUAAAUACCUGCACGAGAAUCAGAUUGUGCACAGGGACAUUAAGGGAGACAAUGUGCUGAUAAACACGUACAGUGGAUUGCUGAAAAUCUCGGACUUUGGAACAUCCAAGAGGCUGGCAGGGAUCAAUCCCUGUACGGAAACUUUCACAGGCACCCUUCAAUACAUGGCCCCUGAGAUUAUCGACAAAGGACCGAGAGGUUACGGCAAACCUGCGGAUAUCUGGUCCCUGGCCUGUACCGUCAUUGAAAUGGCCACAGGAAAGCCUCCCUUCUUCGAACUGGGGGAGCCUCAGGCUGCAAUGUUUAAGGUGGGAAUGUUUAAAAUCCAUCCAGAAAUCCCGGAGUCCAUGUCCCCAGAGGCGAAGGCUUUCCUCCUACGUGGCUUUGAACCCAAUCCUGACAAACGGGCCACGGCAGCAGAGCUCCUCAAGGAUCCAUUCCUGAGCCGGAAGAAAACAAAACCCGCUCUGAAG